rnacentral:rRNA from 1 species
CGUUUGAUCCUGGCUCAGAUUGAACGCUGGCGGCAUGCCUUACACAUGCAAGUCGAACGGUAACGCGGGGGCAACCCUGGCGACGAGUGGCGAACGGGUGAGUAAUACAUCGGAACGUGCCCAGUCGUGGGGGAUAACGUAGCGAAAGCUACGCUAAUACCGCAUACGAACUCUGGUUGAAAGCGGGGGAUCGCAAGACCUCGCGCGAUUGGAGCGGCCGAUGGCAGAUUAGGUAGUUGGUGGGGUAAAGGCCUACCAAGCCGACGAUCUGUAGCUGGUCUGAGAGGACGACCAGCCACACUGGGACUGAGACACGGCCCAGACUCCUACGGGAGGCAGCAGUGGGGAAUUUUGGACAAUGGGGGCAACCCUGAUCCAGCAAUGCCGCGUGUGUGAAGAAGGCCUUCGGGUUGUAAAGCACUUUUGUCCGGAAAGAAAACUUCUGGGUUAAUACCCUGGGAGGCUGACGGUACCGGAAGAAUAAGCACCGGCUAACUACGUGCCAGCAGCCGCGGUAAUACGUAGGGUGCGAGCGUUAAUCGGAAUUACUGGGCGUAAAGCGUGCGCAGGCGGUUUGUUAAGACAGAUGUGAAAUCCCCGGGCUUAACCUGGGAACUGCAUUGGUGACUGGCGGGCUAGAGUAUGGCAGAGGGGGGUAGAAUUCCACGUGUAGCAGUGAAAUGCGUAUAGAUGUGGAGGAAUACC